CCCACUUCAGUCUUCUUCCAUGAUCAUCCAAGUCCUCAUGACUUAGGAAUUGAUUCUUGUUCUUGGCCCCCACAAAAAACAAUCUCUUAGAUUAAACUAGGGAUGCUAUUGUGUUGACCUAGGAUUCUUUUCCUCACAUCAAAUUUUGAACUGGUUGCAACUCUAAUGGCCUUAGAGCUAGUAUGCCUUGCCAAACUCAUGGGAAGAAAAUUCAUGUAUGAGUUUGAUUGAAUAAGCAAUGAUGUAUCCUAAACUGCAAAAGUGUAUAUGUAAUGACUUCUGAAAAGCAUUAGAAAUAUAUCAUCUGCUUUAAUUUGUGUAAA